CAGUAGUGCCUGUGUGACCCAUGGAAUGAUCAUGAGUCAAGUUUGCUGGCAUGGGGAAACAGUAUUACUUGCACCUCAGUCAUCCACAGAGGAGACAAUCAACCAAGGAGACUCAAAGGAGGUAACCAUAUAACCAUAAAGAGGUCAAAGGCACCUCUUCCUUUGAGAAUGCAGUUCAGGGGUAAGAAUUCUAAAGGACUGCAAUGGACAAAGCAGGAGAUUACAAGGAUCAGAGAGGCACUUCUAAAGCAGAAGCCAAGAAUAAUCAAUGUGGCCACAUGCCAAGGAAGGUAACUGCAGGAAAACAAAGGCCAAUUCACCCACACCUCCGCAGGGCCUCCUCACUGUUUUGUUGCCAUUUAACAGUUGGCUUUUCAAUGGCAUAAUCCAAAGGCAGAGUGGGGUACUCAAUCGCUUUAUCCGAUAAUACGAACAAAGAAGCUGGAACCGUCAUGACCUGGAGUGCGCGGAGAGGAUUCCAUCUCAAUAGUACACUGCGUGUUCCCUUGAGAGUUGCACAACUGUUGGAUUAAAAUCAAAUGUAUUUCCCUACAAAAUGAGAAACAAGGAUGGAGUCGAUUACCUGAAGGCAAACCCAGUCACACAACGGAGUCUUUACUACUGCAAAUGCAGCAGAAGAGCGAAGUAGGAGGGCUACAUUCUACAAUUAUCAGCAGCACUCCACAAACAACAUUGUAGCUCUCAAUUACCUGGAGAGACUGUCACAUCUGUGCACAGCAGCCACAGCUGCGACCCCAGGCACAGAACCAACGUGUUCACACCCUUGAAAAAACAUCCUAUCGAUUAUCAUCUACUAAUGCUGAACAUAAUGACGGGAAGAGUGCAAAGAGUCUGCGUUGUGUUUAAAUACAUGUCUUUACGUUGUGA